GACGAACGCUGGCGGCGUGCUUAACACAUGCAAGUCGAACGGAAAGGCCCUGCUUUUGUGGGGUGCUCGAGUGGCGAACGGGUGAGUAACACGUGAGUAACCUGCCCUUGACUUUGGGAUAACUUCAGGAAACUGGGGCUAAUACCGGAUAGGAGCUCCUGCUGCAUGGUGGGGGUUGGAAAGUUUCGGCGGUUGGGGAUGGACUCGCGGCUUAUCAGCUUGUUGGUGGGGUAGUGGCUUACCAAGGCUUUGACGGGUAGCCGGCCUGAGAGGGUGACCGGCCACAUUGGGACUGAGAUACGGCCCAGACUCCUACGGGGGGCAGCAGUGGGAAUAUUGCACAAUGGGCGGAAGCCUGAUGCAGCAACGCCGCGUGCGGGAUGACGGCCUUCGGGUUGUAAACCGCUUUCGCCUGUGACGAAGCGUGAGUGACGGUAAUGGGUAAAGAAGCACCGGCUAACUACGUG
rnacentral:rRNA from 1 species